AUGCAGGAAAGCCAGCCCAGCCUUCCUAGAUGCUGCUUGGGCUGGAGCAGUGGGAUAAGGAGGUGCCCAAGGGGGUCAGAGCCAAGCUGGAAGGAGCAGCCUGAGCAGGAGCUGGGAGCAGCACGGCAAUGGGCUGGAGGACUGGUGCCUGCCCAUGCUGCCGAGAAGGAAAUCCACCCACAGAGGCGACGUGGAGGUGCUGCCUCGGGAUGUAUUUAUGGUGCAGGCUCACUGGCUCGGCUCCACAAAAUUUGUAGUACAGGGAGGGCUGAUAAAAAGCAAUUCAGAGGAGCCCGGUCGGUGCGGAGACACAAUAUGCCAGUGCUGGCUGUAAGCAGCGAUGAGACGACCUCAGCAGUCCCGCGAGCUGCGGCCUGGGAGCCAGAAAAAUUGGGUUUGGAUCCAGUUGUAUCGCUGAGCUGCUGUGUGAUCGUGAAAGGUCAUUUCUUACUCCUCUCCUGUGCUUUAUUUAUGAGUUGA
rnacentral:lncRNA from 1 species